GAGGAGCGCGUUGGGGAAUGGCAGGGGGGGUGCUCCCUACUGCAAAGCUCUGCUUCUGGCCACGUGGUGGCAAACGGAGCACUGCAGCAGCGAGUUUAUUUGGAGCAGUCCUGGCUGGGUCCCCUCUUGGGCCAGCAGCCCAGACAAGUGCGGCUGUGGCAAGAAAAGGAACGUUGCAACAGAAGAACUGAGGCAGUGCCAGUGAGUGCACAAAGCGGUGCUUGCCCUGGAGGAACAGCAUAGUGCAAAUUCCCAGUGCUGUCGCAUGCACGGGGACACAGCUCGUGGCCUUGACCUCAGCAGAGCCCUCCCACUUUACACCAGGUUUUCUCCCUUCCUCACAUCGUGAUCAGCAUCUGCCCUUGUCUAUCUGGCUUCUACCGUGGGCUGCAGCUCACCACCAGCGCAGCUCUGCCGUCCACAGAGAGCUGGGCAGGUGGCAGUUCAGUGCCCAGCACGUGGCCCCAGUCCUCCACAGGAGUCCCCAGGAGGGUUUCCACCACCCCUGCAGCUGGCACCUCACCGUAGCACAUGUCUGAGCCACAUGCAGAUGUGUGUGGGUGCUGGAGGGACUGGCAGGGCACGUGCUUGCUCCAGUCAGUGGGGCAAUGUAGAGGAGCUGGUGGCUCCCCAAACUCACCGGUAACCAGCUCAGCCCUCAACGUUGUGUAGGGCUGCACGGGGAGCUGCCCUAACCUCCAGUCCUGGGCUGUCCUCGCAGCCAGGACUAUCUGGGAGAAACACCUUGACUGUGCCGGGGCCUCUGGGCAUUCCUUUAGAGGGUAGCAACGAGCCGGUUCCGCCUGGUGCUGACCAAGGAGGAUUUCCCCGGUGUCGACUGAAUUCCCCUGCGUGGUGAGAACGAGACCGCCCCGUGCCCCGCAGCCCUCGGGGGGGGGCUUCGGGUCAAUCCCCCGCGGCUCCCUGCCCCCGUGGGCGGGCUGCAGG
rnacentral:lncRNA from 1 species